UACGUAGGGGGCAAGCGUUGUCCGGAAUUAUUGGGCGUAAAGAGCGUGUAGGCGGUCCGGUAAGUCAGCUGUGAAAGUCAAGGGCUCAACCCUUGAAUGCCGGUUGAUACUGUCGGGCUAGAGUCCGGAAGAGGCGAGUGGAAUUCCCGGUGUAGCGGUGAAAUGCGCAGAUAUCGGGAGGAACACCAAUGGCGAAGGCACUCUACUGGGCUAGUACUGACACUGAGGGACGAAAGCUAGGGGAGCGAAUGGG
rnacentral:rRNA from 1 species